UUUAACUCUCUUAGCCUGACUUUUGUUCUAAAAAGCAUGGCAUUUGAGAUGUGAAAAAUAUUUUCCCUUUGCAGGAAAGAUACGAGGUUUCCCUGGACAAGAUUCUGAGUGAUCAAGACAGAAAAGGCUUUUUGCUAGUUCCAAGGAUUCCUAUAUUUUUCUAAAAGAACAAAGGAAAGUCUAUAGGCUUUAAGCUAAGAGAGAAUGGCAGUACCACUGUCCCCUGAGAAAGAUAGCCAAGGAUUUCAGUUGAGUCAGAUGAAGAGGCAGAGACUAAGGAACACCUCACAGAGAUUAUAGUAGAGCAACACCUGGUGGAGCAAUGGCCAGCAGAGACUAUUUUCUCAGUCCAGAUGUCCUGGGUCCGGUGGGAGAUACUGCAAGCAGACCUGGUCGGAGCUGCAUGAUGAUAUCAUCUAGAGAAAUUAAGCAACCCAGCAGCCUCUGAGAAUCAAAAAUAAUGAACAGGAAAUAAGAGGAAAAGAAUGAGACCAAAAGCCAAGACAGAACACUUGGCCAGAAGUAUAUGAAGAAGUCCUUGUCAUUGUCACCUAUGGAUCUCCAGCUCCUUUUUCCUUCCUCUUCAAUAAAUUCAAGACCUGGCUUAUGGGGCAGCGAGAGGAUGGAGAGCCAGGCCUGAAGUCGGGAAAGAUCUGAAUUGAAAUCUGGCUUCAGACUUGGUAAGUCACUUA